rnacentral:rRNA from 1 species
AACGAACGCUGGCGGCAGGCCUAAUACAUGCAAGUCGAACGCCUGUAGCAAUACAGGAGUGGCGCACGGGUGAGUAACACGUGGGUAUCUACCUAGCAGUACGGAACAACCGCGGGAAACUGCGGCUAAUACCGUAUACGCCCCUUGGGGGAAAGAUUUAUCGCUGCUAGAUGAGCCCGCGCCCGAUUAGCUAGUUGGUGAGGUAAUGGCUCACCAAGGCUCCGAUCGGUAGCUGGUCUGAGAGGAUGACCAGCCACACUGGGACUGAGACACGGCCCAGACUCCUACGGGUGGCAG